GGCCGUGGCACCUGGACCCAGCCAGAGGAGGGGACAACGAGGUCUAGAUGGGCCGGUGUGUGGUGAGGCCCAGGAAAUUUGGAUUUAGAGGACUUGAGAGCCUGAGCUUGAACAGCCCUUGAGAACCUGAGCUUGAAAAGCCCUUGAGAACCUGAGCGUGAAAAGCCCUAUCCUCACGUGCUGGGAUUGUGCCUGAUUUACACUGAGGCCUCAUAGUGACCCUCAUCAGGACCAAGGGCUCCAUAGGCCUCGGUUGUAUUGAAUCCAGUGUCUGUUACUGAGGCCACCGUGUCUGGAGGACCCAUCUUCCUGGCUCAGCUAAGGGCCCUUCUGUCCUCACCUCCUGGGGGCCUGAGCACUGACAGUGCUCUGCCCUCCUGGAGCCAAGACGGGGCCUCCUGGGGUCCCAGGAUACAUGGGUUACCAUGCUCGCCGCACUGUGCCUGCCGAGACUGGGC